CCGUUUGGCAAAGUUCUGGCUAAGAGAUUUGCAGAGUGUCGGGUGACCGGCAAAGAGAUCUGCAAAGUGUCAGUUGAAGACGACGGGAGGGGUCGCAGAGGAAUUAGUGACUGGAGAAUAGCAUGCAGGAGUGGGUGAUCCCUGAAUAGCUGCCCUGGGAGGAGAGCUGCGGACACAUGCUCCAAAUGUUGGAACAUAUGCAUUACCUAUUAGGAGAUGCGGUAAAGAUGCCGGCUGUCGGGUUUACGUCAGUCAGAAUACUGACUCUGGGAUCCCGAAA